GACGAACGCUGGCGGCGUGCUUAACACAUGCAAGUCGAACGGAAAGGCCCUGCUUUUGUGGGGUGCUCGAGUGGCGAACGGGCGCGUAACACGUGAGUAACCCGCCCUUGACUUUGUGAUAACUUCAGGAAACGCGGGCUAAUACCGGUCAGGAGCCUCCGCUCCAUGGGGGGGGUUGGAAAUAUUCGGCGGUCGGGGAUGGUCUCCCGGGUCAACAGUUUGUUGGUGGGGUAGUGGCUUACGAAGGCCUUGACGGGUAGCCGGCCUGAGAGGGUGACCGGCCACCUUGGGACUGAGGUACGGCCCAGACUGCUACGGGGGGCAGCGGUGGGAAAUAUUGCACAAUGGGCGGAAGCCUGAUGCAGCGACGCCGCGUGCGGGAUGGCGGCCUUCGGGUUGUAAACCGCUUUCGCCUGUGACGAAGCGUGAGUGACGGUAAUGGGUAAAGAAGCACCGGCUAACUACGUG
rnacentral:rRNA from 1 species